rfam:Plasmopara halstedii genome assembly, contig: Scaffold_430
GCUCGCGUGGCCCAAUGGAUACGGCGCUGCCCUCCUAAGGCAGAGAUUGCGGGUUCAAGUCCCGUCGUGAGUA